ACUGGAGUCACCAGGCUGUGAGCACCUCUGCUGCUUCUGGGGUCGCCUGGGUCUCAUGUUCCCCCGCUGGUUCUCUGUGGGCUUAGGUGCUGCUGCCCUGUGCACCACCUGUGCUGCUGCUCCUAGGUUCCACAAGCACUGUGCCUGCAACAGCAGUUGAAUGAAUGGCAAUGAAUGGGGUCCCAGUAUACAAAGAGAGCUGCAGGGCAAGGUCAGGGAAGGGAGCAGCCAUGGGCAGCUCACUUCGGAAUCCCGUGUUAUUACUUAGCAGCAUGGACAAUUAUCUGGCCUACGUUGUGGGGUAUGUUGGAUGGAGGCAGGAAGAAACAUGUUCAUCUGAGCCAGGAGAUGGGCCCGUUGGCAACUUUGUUAGAUUGCACACAAUUUUAUGGGCUUGUCAUAGAGCUUGUGCAAAUUCUCAUGUCUGUCCCACACCCUGAUAAAGAGUGAUAUCUUCUAAGAGAGAGAACACCACAGAUGUUUGAUUACAUCUCACCCAUAAUUUGUGGUCCACAUGACUUCAUUGUAUACGGGCUGAUUUAUAAACUGUAAAGCAUGACGCAAAUGAGAAGUGGUAUUUAUUAUUUGAAUCCUUUCUGUCCUUGGCUGAGUUCCAGGGAGGUGAUGGGUUUCCAUUUCUAAGGGAGGAUUUCAGAGGAAAUAAAGAGAAUGGAGAGCAGAAGCUCAGAACUUACAAAAUGAAGACAGUUGUUUUCUACGUUUAAGAUUUGGUAUUUAC
rnacentral:lncRNA from 1 species